rnacentral:rRNA from 1 species
GCAUAUAGCCCUCGCUUUUCUGUACCCUAAGGUGGUACAGGAACAAGGACUGGGCAAGACCGGUGCCAGCCGCCGCGGUAAUACCGGCAGUCCGAGUGAUGGCCGAUAUUAUUGGGCCUAAAGCGUCCGUAGCUUGCUGUGUAAGUCCAUUGGGAAAUCGACCAGCUCAACUGGUCGGCGUCCGGUGGAAACUACACAGCUUGGGGCCGAGAGACUCAACGGGUACGUCCGGGGUAGGAGUGAAAUCCUGUAAUCCUGGACGGACCACCAAUGGGGAAACCACGUUGAGAGACCGGACCCGACAGUGAGGGACGAAAGCCAAGGGUCUCGAACCGGAUUAGAUACCCGGGUAGUCCUGGCUGUAAACAAUGCUCGCUAGGUAUGUCACGCGCCAUGAGCACGUGAUGUGCCGUAGUGAAGACGAUAAGCGAGCCGCCUGGGAAGUACGUCCGCAAGGAUGAAACUUAAAGGAAUUGGCGGGGGAGCACCACAACCGGAGGAGCCUGCGGUUUAAUUGGACUCAACGCCGGACAUCUCACCGGUCCCGACAGUAGUAAUGACAGUCAGGUUGACGACUUUACUCGACGCUACUGAGAGGAGGUGCAUGGCCGCCGUCAGCUCGUACCGUGAGGCGUCCUGUUAAGUCAGGCAACGAGCGAGACCCGCACUUCUAGUUGCCAGCAACACCCUUGUGGUGGUUGGGUACACUAGGAGGACUGCCAUUGCUAAAAUGGAGGAAGGAACGGGCAACGGUAGGUCAGUAUGCCCCGAAUGGACCGGGCAACACGCGGGCUACAAUGGCUCUGACAGUGGGAUGCAACGCCGAGAGGCGACGCUAAUCUCCAAACGGAGUCGUAGUUCG